rnacentral:rRNA from 1 species
UACGGAGGGUGCAAGCGUUAUCCGGAUUCACUGGGUUUAAAGGGUGCGUAGGUGGGUUGGUAAGUCAGUGGUGAAAUCUCCGAGCUUAACUUGGAAACUGCCAUUGAUACUAUCAGUCUUGAAUAUUGUGGAGGUCAGCGGAAUAUGUCAUGUAGCGGUGAAAUGCUUAGAUAUGACAUAGAACACCAAUUGCGAAGGCAGCUGGCUACGCAUAUAUUGACACUGAGGCACGAAAGCGUGGUGAUCAAACAGG